rnacentral:rRNA from 1 species
AUUGAACGCUGGCGGCAUGCCUUACACAUGCAAGUCGAACGGCAGCACGGGUGCUUGCACCUGGUGGCGAGUGGCGAACGGGUGAGUAAUACAUCGGAACGUACCUUAUCGUGGGGGAUAACGCAGCGAAAGCUGUGCUAAUACCGCAUACGCCCUGAGGGGGAAAGCGGGGGAUCGCAAGACCUCGCGCGAUUAGAGCGGCCGAUGCCUGAUUAGCUUGUUGGUGGGGUAAAAGCCCACCAAGGCGACGAUCAGUAGCUGGUCUUGAGAGGACGAUCAGCCACACUGGGACUGAGACACGGCCCAGACUCCUACGGGAGGCAGCAGUGGGGAAUUUUGGACAAUGGGGGCAACCCUGAUCCAGCAAUGCCGCGUGAGUGAAGAAGGCCUUCGGGUUGUAAAGCUCUUUUGUCAGGGAAGAAACACCGGCUCUACCACAGUCCGGGAAUGACGGUACCUGAAGAAUAAGCACCGGCUAACUACGUGCCAGCCGCCGCGGUAA